rnacentral:rRNA from 1 species
UACGUAGGGUGCGAGCGUUAGGCGGAAUCACUGGGCUUAAAGCGUGUGUAGGCGGGCCCGUAAGUGUCUUGUGAAAUCCCACGGCUCAACCGUGGAACUGCUGGGCAUACUGCGGGUCUUGGGCCAACUAGGGGCAGCCGGAACAAGCGGUGGAGCGGUGAAAUGCGUAGAUAUCGCUUGGAACGCCGAAGGUGAAAACAGGCUGCUGGGGUUGCGCCGACGCUGAGACACGAAAGCCAGGGGAGCAAACGGG